GACAGAGGGUGCAAACGUUGUUCGGAAUUACUGGGCGUAAAGCGCGUGUAGGCUGCCCCGCAAGUCAGGUGUGAAAGCCUGGGCUCAACCUAGGAAGUGCACUUGAAACUGCGGGGAUCGAGGGCUGGAGAGGGAAGCGGAAUUCUCGGUGUAGAGGUGAAAUUCGUAGAUAUCGAGAGGAACAGCCGGUGGCGAAGGCGGCUUCCUGGACAGUUACUGACGCUGAGACGCGAAAGCGUGGGGAGCA
rnacentral:rRNA from 1 species